rnacentral:rRNA from 1 species
ACGAACGCUGGCGGCGUGCUUAACACAUGCAAGUCGAACGAAAAGAGGGAAAGAGCUUGCUCUUUCCGGAAUUGAGUGGCAAACGGGUGAGUAACACGUAAACAACCUGCCUUCAGGAUGGGGACAACAGACGGAAACGACUGCUAAUACCGAAUAAGUUCCAAGAGCCGCAUGGCCCAUGGAAGAAAAGGUGGCCUCUACCUGUAAGCUAUCGCCUGAAGAGGGGUUUGCGUCUGAUUAGCUGGUUGGAGGGGUAACGGCCCACCAAGGCGACGAUCAGUAGCCGGUCUGAGAGGAUGAACGGUCACACUGGAACUGAGACACGGUCCAGACUCCUACGGGAGGCAGCAGUGGGGAAUCUUCCGCAAUGGGCGAAAGCCUGACGGAGCAACGCCGCGUGAGUGAUGACGGCCUUCGGGUUGUAAAACUCUGUGAUCCGGGACGAAAAGGCAGAGUGCGAAGAACAAACUGCAUUGACGGUACCGGAAAAGCAAGCCACGGCUAACUACGUG